rnacentral:rRNA from 1 species
CACGUAGGGCGCAAGCGUUGUCCGGAAUUAUUGGGCGUAAAGAGCUCGUAGGCGGUCUGUUGCGUCUGCUGUGAAAACCCGGGGCUUAACCCCUGGCUUGCAGUGGAUACGGACAGACUAGAGGUAGGUAGGGGAGAAUGGAAUUCCCGGUGUAGCGGUGAAAUGCGCAGAUAUCGGGAGGAACACCGGUGGCGAAGGCGGUUCUCUGGGCCUU